GGGGAUACCCAGGUGCUAAACCCCCUUCCCUCGUGGCAGCACCCAGUCCCCUCUCGUUAAGUCUCUUCUAACCGCACGUCAGAACCAGCAACCAAUCCUGGAUUGAUUUCCGCUCCCCAGCGACCUUCCCCAAAAUCUUUUAGCUGGAACCCAAACCUUAAAAAGAUACUUUCCUUUCUCGUCUUGGGGUGCAGCAUUUCAAGAUUCCUCCGGAAUUCCCUCCCCGACUUCAAAUCAACAAACCUGAUUUUGUCAAAGUACGACUGGAUCCUGUUCUUAGGUGAGACGCCCCAGAAUUGGCUCCUGUUGUCACCUCUGGGACACAGGCAUUUUCUCCACUGCACUGAGAAGUAAUGACAGCCACGAGCUCCCCUGCUCUACCCCCAUCAAAAUCCCUAGCAGGCAUAUUGGAAACCCGGUCACCUUGGCAUUGGCUGACAGCCACGCUAAUCCCUGCUGUUUGUUGUCAGAUGGUGACCGCAGGGGCAUGCUUCACCCGUUCUAGAAGCACUUCUUUCCUUACACGCUCAGUCUUGAGGCAUUAGCUACGAUCCCCUGGACUCACUCUCUGAGGCAGGGAUCUGGAAUCCUCUCUUCUGCAGACAGCAGCUGAGCUGGGGACGUCUGAACAUCUGGGGAUGAAUGUGCAAGAUGCUCAACAAGAAUUCUGGCUUCCAGCUGCAUAGCUUUCAAGGUCUUCCCUCUGUGCUCCCCAUCUGCCUCGCUCUCCAGAUCUCUCCGGGCUUCUGUCUCUCUCCCUGACACUGCAAACUCCAACUUGGGGGCCCUUCCCUGUGGAUCACCUCUGAUUUCUCACUGACCUCUCAUCUCCUGCUCUUUUGGAAUGUCUCACCUCACUUCCCUCUGUUACAUGGGGUGAAGUUGGUGAAGGAAUAAAAUAGGAUUCCCAGACUCUUUCCCAAGGCUGCUGGUACAGAUGGCUUUGGCUUCCUGCUCAAAGUAUCCUAGUUAUCUGCCCGUCCCUAUCCCUUGGGUAAGCCGUCCCCCACUGGCUAUCCUGCUAGAAGGGAAAUCCGUCCAUGGGUCCCCAGAAUCAUACCCUUUGAG